AAGGAACCUGCUGAAGAAUUGCUGGCCCGGCUCACGCUACAGGAGGAAGAGGAGGACAAAUUCAUAUGGGAGGAGGAGCUGCCGGAUAUGGUAGAACCGGCGAAGUGGUUAGCAAUUGCCAGAGUCCAUACACCAAAGACCUUCAGCCCUAGCGUGCUGUAUAAUAACAUGCGCGCGGCAUGAAACCCUGCCAAACAGGUGGUAUGGAGGAAGAUCAAAAGUAAUUUGUUCACAGCGCAGUUUGGAUGCCUGGGUGAUUGGAAUACGGCGAUGGUUGAAGGGCCGUGGUUAUUCAGGGAGCAAGUUGUGAUCAUGGAGGAAUACGGCGGGUUUAAAAAAACCCGAUACUUUCAAGCUAGAUAA
rnacentral:rRNA from 1 species